CUUUCCAUUGGCUGCUUCCUCUGAGGACAUAAUUGUGUACAUCCUCCGUGGAUCAGGUGGAUCGUACUUUUCCUUGGGCAUUCCUGUCGAUACAAAACGACAAAGGAUUACGACAUUUUAUACGGAGUAUUCUUUAAAAGCCCAGCGUGGACAGUGGAAGAGAACUGCCAAAAAUUCCUCUAGGCAGAGCCCUCCCUCCAGCAUUCCUGUCCAGCAGCAGAUCAGUAGCACCUCCAUGCACAGAGAAGGAAUGAGAAAAAAGCAUUGCUGUCUCCUCUCCACCUCGAGAAAAAAAUAUUUGGAACUCAGUCAGUUGAAAAGGGAAAACAGUUUAAGCAUACCUUGAUUUGUAUGAAUACUGUAUUAACUUAAACGCUAGUUGCGUGUUUUAAGGUUACAAAGGACUCCCAAUAUACAUCAUUUUUACCACAAAUAAAAACAUGCUAUUGCACAGUUCUUUGCAUACGUAAGAGCUUUUAUGGCA